rnacentral:ncRNA from 1 species
UUCUUCGGGGCAAGGUGUAAUUCCUUACCGGCGGUAUAGCCCGCAAGCCAUUGUGCAUGAUUCGGUGAAAUUCCGAGGCCGACAGUAAAGUCUGGAUGUGAGAAGAUA